rnacentral:lncRNA from 1 species
GGAAACUGCGGCGACGCCUUCCUCCUAUGGCUUUCACUGGGCUCCUUUGAUCGUGCUUUGCAAGAAGCUGUUCACAGGAUGUGUGGACCAGUGCUUCGCUGACUCAGCAGGGCCCACUGCCAUCUCCAGAGCGCCUCACCUUAAUACUCCAUGCUGCCCUAGAGUUGCAACAAAGGUGAGCUUUUUCUUCUUUACAAAUCGAAGUUUUUGUUC